rnacentral:lncRNA from 1 species
AUGUUAGAAGAUUCAGAUUUUACAGCAACUGUACCAAAAUUGGAAAUUCUUAUUUCUGUGUUUGUUGCCCAGGUGUACGUUUCUGUUUUGAAUUCCCACUCCCAUUUGUUGAACUCUGUGCAGAGUCUCAAGUAUUCUUUAGCUACGAGGCUCUUUCUGAAGCUGAAGUUUUCAUGCUUUACUGAAGUCCAUAGGUUUGCCAUUCACUCUUUAAAAUCCAAGACAUUAGCAGAUGACUCACAGUUUCUCAGCAGUUGGAUGAUGUGUUUCUUGAGCUCAUAUACAGCCUCACUGUAGCCUGCACUGACUGGUGCCAUUGGUGGGUUUCCAUUCCAGAGUCCAGGAAUGUACUAGUUCCCAGUGUCUGGACUGUACUCCAUCACAUCAGUGAAGCUCUUGUUCUCCUCUUUCUUUUCCAUUUUGGCUGCUGCCUGGGUCAUCUCAUUUAACUGUUCCAGGAGCAGUUUCCUGUCUGACUGACUGCAAACUGCACUCCAAACAUGGUGUUAAGGAGAGUGGACUUUCCUGUGCUCUGAACUCCAAGAACUGUGACUACCAGUAUCUUUCUGUUUGGAGACACCAAGUCACUGAGCUGAGAGAGAACAUCACUCACCCAUCUGAGAGGGAUGUUGGAUGCAUCUCCAUCUACAAGCUCAAGAGGAAAUCCAUCAAGCAACAACUCUGCACAAAGUUUGGGCAGAUGCUGCAACUGAUGUGCUGUAGGUUAGCUACAGUCACUGGCUGACUGAAAAUAUCAAUGUUUGCUUUUCCACAAGGAAGAUACCAAGUAAUUUCAAUCAGUCCAUUGGAUAUUCUUCUUGGACUGUCACCACACUCCAUGUUGUGGUGAACAAAGGUGUCAUGGUACUGCUGAGAAUUGCUCAGAACCUUAUUGAGAAUCUCUGACUUGGACAAGGAGCACUCACCCAGUCUGACAAAAGAGAUCAUUGGAAGUUCAGAGAGAACGAUUCUGUCUUCAAUGAAGCCCUUGGAUUCUGACAGAGACUGAGGUCUGUACAGACCUCUGUACUCGCCUCUGUCAGUGCGCCCCAGGGUGGCUGUGGCUACAAUGUAGCUUACCGUCACCAGUGUGUGAAUGUGUGUGUGAAUGGGUGGAUGACUGAACGUGUAAAGCGCUAUACAAAUACAGGCCAUUUACCAUUUUUAACAAUGUCUCUCAUGGCCCACAGCAUGAGUGUGCACUGUUUUGUGUCAUGAUUGGAAAGCAGCAAAGGAACAGAGAACUGACACAUGGACAUUUUGAGUGCCAUUUCCUGCUGUACAAAACCAUCAGAACACAGAAAGAGAGGAGUGAUUAUGUCAAGAGGGUUUAGCAUGUCAGCUGUGUUUAGGCCAUCAAGCAGAUUGUCAUUAUCUAAUUCUGUACUCCCAGAUUUAUCAUUAA